UACGUAGGGGGCUAGCGUUGUCCGGAUUUAUUGGGCGUAAAGAGCGUGUAGGCGGCCAUGUAGGUCCGGUGUGAAAACUCGAGGCUUAACCUCGAGAUGUCAUCGGAAACCAGUUGGCUAGAGUCCGGAAGAGGAGAGUGGAAUUCCUGGUGUAGCGGUGAAAUGCGCAGAUAUCAGGAAGAACACCCGUGGCGAAGGCGGCUCUCUGGAACGCAACUGACGCUGAGACGCGAAAGCGUGGGGAGCAAACAGG
rnacentral:rRNA from 1 species